rnacentral:rRNA from 1 species
ACGGGUGAGUAACGCGUGGGUAACCUGCCUCACACAGGGGGAUAACAGUUGGAAACGGCUGCUAAUACCGCAUAAGCGCACAGUACCGCAUGGUACAGUGUGAAAAACUCCGGUGGUGUGAGAUGGACCCGCGUCUGAUUAGCUAGUUGGCAGGGCAACGGCCUACCAAGGCGACGAUCAGUAGCCGGACUGAGAGGUUGAACGGCCACAUUGGGACUGAGACACGGCCCAGACUCCUACGGGAGGCAGCAUG